GGGUCUCUGGGCCUGUCUGGGCGGGAUGCGGGCGAGCUGGGCCGUGGCUCGGGCUCCGCUUGUGCUGCCUGCUGCCGAGCCACGCGGCCCCAGUCUUCGCUUUUUGUGGCACGUUUUCUCCUCCCCCGAGUAGCUGAGGCCAUGGGCUAGACGGGCUCGAGAGCUGGCCCGCGCGCUGCACGGAAAGUUGUGUGGAAACGGGGUUUUAAUGGAAAUAGUGUUGCGAUUUCCAUCGUGCUCCUCUAGGAUUGGCCUGUGGGGAUGUUGAAGGAAAAUUUGAUAUGUUGUUCAACAGAGUGCAAGCUGUUCAGAAGAAAAGUGGAGAAUUUGAUCUGCUUUUGUGUGUUGGGAACUUCUUUGGCUCUACUCCAGAGACAGAGUGGGAGGAAUACCGGACAUGUGCCAAGAAAGCUCCGAUUCCAACGUAUGUCUUGGGUGCCAAUAACCCGGAAACUGUACAUUAUUUUCCAGAUGUCAAUGGCUGUGAACUAGCCGAGAACAUUACAUACUUAGGUCGUAAGGGUAUUUUCAGCGGCACCUCAGGAUUGCAGAUUGCCUACCUGAGUGGUACAGAAUCCCUGAGUGAGCCAGCUCCUGCCUACAGUUUCAGCUCCAAGGAUGUGUCAGAACUGAAAAUAUCUUUAUUAUCUACUCCAAAAUUCAAAGGUGUUGAUAUCUUGCUGACAUCCCCCUGGUCCAGAGGUGUAGGGAAUUUUGGAAAUAAACCUGGAGAAAUGGAUACUAAGAGAUGUGGAUCUGUGUUAAUAUCUAAUCUAGCCACAAGUCUGAAGCCAAGAUAUCACUUUGCUGCAUUGGAGAAAACCUAUUAUGAAAGACUUCCUUAUAGAAACCAUGUGGUCCUACAGGAGAAUGCACAGCAUGUGAGCAGAUUUAUAGCUCUUGCCAAUGUUGGCAAUACAAGCAAGAAAAAGUAUCUCUAUGCAUUUAGUAUUCUCCCAAUGCGCUCAAUGGACCCUGCAGAGCUAGUGAAACAGCCACAGGAUGUCACUGAAAACCCAUAUCAGAAAUCUGGGAAAGAGGCACAUAAGCCAAAGAUGCUCUCAGGUGCAGAGGAAGAACCAGCUUGUCAGUUUUUCUUUGAUUUGAGCAAACGGCAUGGAAAGAAGCGGCCAUCAGAUGGAAAGGGGGGACAGCAUUCCCAGCUCAAGCAGCCUAAGAAAAUCCAUCAGCCAACUGGCCCCUGCUGGUUCUGUCUUUCCAGCCCUGAAGUUGAGAAACAUUUGGUUGUUAGCAUCGGCACACACUGCUAUCUUGCCCUUGCCAAGGGUGGCUUAUCAGAUGAUCAUGUCCUGAUUUUACCUGUUGGGCAUUACCAGUCAGUGGUUGAACUUUCUUCAGAGGCAAUGGAAGAAAUAGACAAGUACAAAUCUUCCCUGAAGAAGUUUUUCAGAAGCAAAGGAAAAAGAUAUGUGUUGUUUGAAAGAAAUUACAGGAGUCAGCACCUACAGUUGCAGGUGAUUCCUGUACCACUCAGCUGUUGUACUACUGAAGACAUUAAAGAGUCCUUUAUUUUACAAGCACAAGAACAGGAGAUUGAAUUAUUAGAAAUCCCAGAGCACUCGGAUAUCAAACAAAGACGUUUUUGCGUCCAUAGGAGAGACAUGGACUUCAUGCAGGAGGCAGCGAGACCUAUUCUUCAGAAGAUGACCGGUUUGCUGCAACCAUUUGAACUCAUCAGUGCUCUCCAGAGUGCUCAUCCUCACCUGCAUCAGGGUUCUGGUGACCCAACUUCAAGAUUCUGGACCUUGGUCUUCUUCCAGGAGACAUUCAAUCCCAUAGUGCGGGUGCAUUGUGGAAACUUUGAAGGGCAGGGCUAAAAAUCUUUGGCUUCUCCACAGUGUCAUAGGCAUACUCUUUAUCAGCGAACACCUCUUGACCAACCUUGAUUCUGACAUGUGGAGCCACAAAGUCCUUGUUCCUAGUUGAUAGCUUGACGGGGUAGUGCUGUGGUGAGAAUACAAACCUUGCUCUAAACCUGAGAUUGUACAGAAAUGUUGAAAGCUAUGAAUGUAGGCCAAAAUUGGCCUAAGCAAACUUCAUUUUAUUUUGUGUUACUGCCUUAGCUGUUGCUAGUCAGGUGUGUGGUCUUCUAAGGAAAAAGAACACAUGCUACUACUAUAGUAUAUGUAUUCCAUGAAUCUGGACGCACACAAACUAGACUUGUGUUACAGAUCAACAGACAGAUGUUUAAAGUUAAACCAAAUAUCACUGAUUUUCAAUCAAAAACUUCAGUUAAGUCUCUUUUUGCAUGUGCUGAUGGCUGACAGAGAUUGUUGCUCCCAGUGUGUUUUGUAGGACUUCUAAUUUCCAGCCUAGUCACUAAUUUCCCGUAUUGUGGCACGAGGUAACAAAAGCUAAGAAAAAAGCAGCUAUGCUUCUGCCCUUGAACAUUUUUUCUACAAUAACAAGUUGAGUUAACCUAGAACUUCAUUUGCUGGCUUUUGUUGAUCUAUUUCACAAUGUUAGCCACACCGAAAUGUAACGUCUGUAUCAGUGUUAUCUUGAGUGCACAGUGUAUCCCAGCAGUAGAAGACACUUGACCCCAUGCUGGCAAAGUUAGGCUGGUUCUCUCCUCCUCCCCCCCGCCCCCGCUGGCUGGCAGUUGCAACAAAAUCACUUAUGUUACAAGCUGUUUCUAGGUUUUCAGUUCUUUUAUGGGGAUUUUAUAUCUGAACAUUUUAUACCAUAUGUAUUUAAAAAUCAGCUGCUCUGAUCACUUUCUGCAAAUGAUUAAUAGUCACAUUAUUGUGCUUUUCAGACUUGGCUCAGGGAAUCCAGGUUUUCCCACUGUGUGAAAUGCUGAUUAACGUUUCAGCAUCACCUUUAUUUCCCCUCUUCUAGAUUGCACAGCGGGGGACACCUUAUUUUUAUGUUGAACUGGAUACGGGAGAGAAGCUCUUUCACCGUAUUAAGAAAAAAUUUCCCUUGCAGUUUGGAAGGGAAGUGUUGGCAAGCGAAGCUGUUCUAAAUGUGCCAGGGCGGGCGGACUG